rnacentral:lncRNA from 1 species
UUGAGAUUACAGAUAACAAAUGAUUCUAUUUAGGGCUAAAGAUAAAUACAGCAGUCCUCCGCACUCACAUUUUCUGAGGUUUCACUUACCCAUGGUCAACCAUAAUUGAAAAUAUUAAAUGAAAAGUUGCAUAAAUAAACAAUUCAUAACUUUUAAAUUGUGUGCUGUUCUGUGUAAUGCAAUGAAAUCUCACACUAUCCCAUUGUUAAGGCUUUUUCACUCCCGUAGUUCGGUGAGCAGGAGGAAGUAGCACCCAACGGCUUCUUCUCUACCGUUGUUUGGGGAGUUGGAGGGAGUGUUACAGCUCUUUUAACUCCCACCACCCGCUGCUCAGCAAGCAGGAGCACUACACCUCUUUUGCUCCCGCAAUUUCGGGGAGUUCCAGGUUCCUGUCCUGUAACCAGAAGGAAUAAGGUCAUAUCGUCUAAUAACAGAAAUCAGAGAGAAGUACCAGGAUCAUAAUUACAGAGAGAAGUUUGACCAAAUCCCUUUCUGUAAAAAUGUUAAAUAUAAAUAUAUGUCUUCUAUGUUUUUGUCCUAACCCUAAAUACUAAAUAUUUACUGGGAAGUCUCUUAAUCUGUGAAAGACUGCAUUCAUUUACAUUAAAUAAAAUAUGGGAAUUGCUAAAUUUUAAAUUCAGUAUUCCCUAUGAAAAACUAAACUUAGGAAAAGUAAAUUUUUUAUGAAUUUUGCCACAACUGCUCAUUUGGGGAAUAAAAAUCAGAACUCUGAAAUUUUAGCUUUAAAAACCAAUAUUGUCUUUGAAAGCUAAUGAUCAAGUGAUGAUUUUGUUUUCUAGCCAUUUAAUAAUAACCUUGGCGUUCUUUUUCGGGUUCAUAUGCCUUGCACAAUCUUUGACCAAAACCAAAAUUCUCACCUACUUUCUAUGUAAUAAAUCAUUAGGAAUUAUGAAAAAGAGAGAAAAGAAUUAACGUUAUCCAAGUUUAUAACUAUUGGAUGGGCAUUCUGCUAGAAUGCUUCUUAUGCUUUAUGCUUCUUAUCAUAUUAAUGCUCCAGUAUUAUAUACGAUAGAAAAUAAAAGUUAAUCUAGUAAUAUAUAAUGUUAAAUUCAACUAAAUUUGGCCUGAGGAUGUCUCCAAACGUGUGUUCUUCCUUAAACAACUGGGCUGGAACUUAGUACAUAAGCUAACUAAAAGCCUAACCUAGGAGUGCAAUUUUGUAACAAAUAGCUGAAUCUCAGCCAAUCAUAGCAGCCGAGCUUUAGUCAAUUGCAAGCUGCCAAUUGUUCAAACCUGCUCAAAUAAGACAAAGGCUGCUGUAACCAACUGAGCUGUCUUGGUAUGUCACUUCUGUUUUCUGUGUUCUGUCCAUAAAUGCUGUCUGAUCACAUGGCAGACUGGAGUUCUUUGAACCUGUUCUGGUUCUGAGGGCUGCCAGAUUCUAGAGGCAUGAAUAAAAAUAAAUUAAGACUGUUAAACUGAAUUUGUGGUAAUUUUGUCUUGUAAAGUAAUAAUGGUAUUUUUUAAAUGGUUUGAAAAAAAUUAAAGAGUUUCACCCUAGAUUUCUAAAAUGCGGUCUCUCAGCA